AGCGAACGCUGGCGGCAGGCCUAACACAUGCAAGUCGAACGGAUCCUUCGGGAUUAGUGGCGGACGCGUGAGUAACACGUGGGAACGUUCCCUUUGGUUCGGAACAACUCAUGGAAACUUGAGCUAAUACCGGAUAUGCCCUUCGGGUGAAAGAUUUAUCGCCAUUGGAGCGGCCCGCGUCUUAUUAGCUAGUUGGUGAGGUAACGGCCCACCAAGGCGACGAUCAGUAGCUGGUCUGAGAGGAUGAUCAGCCACACUGGGACUGAGACACGGCACAGAAUCCUACGGGAGGCAGCAGUGGGGAAUCUUGCGCAAUGGGCGAAAGCCUGACGCAGCCAUGCCGCGUGAAUGAUGAAGGUCUUAGGAUUGUACAAUUCUUUCAGCGGGGACGAUAAUGACGGUACCCGAAGAAGAAGCUCCGGCUAACUUCGUG
rnacentral:rRNA from 1 species